UGGGGAAUAUUGGACAAUGGGCGCAAGCCUGAUCCAGCCAUGCCGCGUGAGUGAUGAAGGCCCUAGGGUUGUAAAGCUCUUUCACCGGUGAAGAUAAUGACGGUAACCGGAGAAGAAGCCCCGGCUAACUUCGUGCCAGCAGCCGCGGUAAUACGAAGGGGGCUAGCGUUGUUCGGAUUUACUGGGCGUAAAGCGCGCGUAGGCGGACUUUUAAGUCAGGGGUGAAAUCCCGGGGCUCAACCCCGGAACUGCCUUUGAUACUGGAAGUCUUGAGUAUGGUAGAGGUGAGGUGAAUUCCGUGUGUGGAGGUGAAGUCCGUAGAUAUUCGGAGGAACACCAGUGGCGAAGGCGGCUCACUGGACCAUUACUGACGCUGAGGGGCGAAAGCGUGGGGAGCAA
rnacentral:rRNA from 1 species